GUGCUCAAUUCGGCAGCACAUAUACUGAAACUGGAACGACACAGAGAAAAUUAGCAUGGCCCUGCGCAAGGAUGACAUGCAAAUUCGUGAGGUGUUCCAUAUUUUU